UACGAGGGGGGCGAGCGUUGUUCGGAAUUAUUGGGCGUAAAGGGCUCGUAGGCGGCCAACUAAGUCAGACGUGAAAUCCCUCGGCUUAACCGGGGAACUGCGUCUGAUACUGGAUGGCUUGAGGUUGGGAGAGGGAUGCGGAAUUCCAGGUGUAGCGGUGAAAUGCGUAGAUAUCUGGAGGAACACCGGUGGCGAAGGCGGCAUCCUGGACCAAUUCUGACGCUGAGGAGCGAAAGCCAGGGGAGCAAACGGG
rnacentral:rRNA from 1 species